rnacentral:lncRNA from 1 species
GGGUUCCCAACAAUCCUGUUCUUCCCUGGUGGAAACAAGAGCUUCGAUCCGGUAAGCAAAGCUUGUUCACUAUAUCAAACAGUGUUUCCAAAACCUGCAAAUGUUUUUUUUUCUUAUGUUACUUUUGAGUACUGAAGUUGUUAAAAUUGUUGCUCAUUAAAAAAAAAAAAAAAAAAAAAAAAAAAAAAAAAAAAAAAAAAAACAGAUCACUGUGGAUGUAGACCGAACAGUAGUGGAACUGUACAAAUUCCUGAAGAAGCAUGCAUCAAUCCCAUUUAAACUUGAGAAACCAGCGACGCCUGAUGCCGUGAGCUCGACCAAGAAAGCUGAUGAGAAGAUUGAA